GUGGAAACACUUUGGCCGAUUCUGGAGACAUCGGAGAGGAUGAGGGAUGUCUUCGGUAGUAGGCCGAUUGUUUCAUAUAAGAGACCAAAAAAUUUAAAAGAUAGUUUGGUUAGAUCUAAGGUUAAAAAGGUUAGGGAGGUAAGUGUAGGGAUGAGUAAGUGUAAUAAGAGUCGUUGUCAGAUUUGUAAUUAUGUGGAUGAGGGGAAAGAAUUUCUCGAGGGAAAAGUAAAAUACUACAUUAAUUACAACUUUGAUUGCGAUUCGGCUGGGGUGAUUUAUUUGAUUUAUUGUAGAAAAUGUGGGAAAAAGUAUGUGGGGAGUACAAUUACUAGUUUUAGGAAACGUUUUAACAACCACAAAAGUAGCAUGAAUAGAUAUGGGAGAGGUGAAAGGGGUAUGGCAGGCGAGCAUUUGUAUGCUCAUUUUUUUUAUCAAGGUCAUAAUGGUAUGCAAGAUGUGAAAGUUAAAAUUAUUGAUAAAACUAAUGUUGCAUGUCCCACACAAAGAGAAGGUUUUUGGGCUUAUAAACUGAAUUCGUUUGAACCGCAUGGGUUGAAUUUAAAAGACUUUGUUUGAACAAUAGAGUUAAUCAAGCGAAUUAUUAUAAUUAGG